GUGAGUUUAGAAUUUAUGCACUUUAAGAUCGCAUAAACAUCAGUAAGUUACUAAUUGUAAGUCAGAACUUACAUUUUGGUAGUUUGUGGUUUUUUUUUCAAUUUUAGGUUGAAGAGUGAGUGGGGAGUUAACGAUUUAAGCUAGGCUAUUAGGAAAGCAAGUUGACCCAAAUGAGUUGAAUAAAUGCAGUUCUUUGUGGAAAAAUUGUUCAUUGGCUAACCUGUUACUGUACUAUCUCUUUUUGCCUUGCUAGUAAGUAUGCGUUUGGUAUGAGAGUAACAAAGCACAGGUGAAAGGUUUGAGUAAUAUUUAAGGGAAUAAUAGUUGAGGGAGUAAAGGCCAUACUUAUUACUAAGGUGCCAAGGAGUCCUGAAGCACAGGUGCAAGGCAUUGCUCCUGCGCGAGAUGAGGCGCAAAAGUAAAAAAUUU
rnacentral:misc_RNA from 1 species